AGUCUCAUCUCGCGAGUCAGGGCGUCACAAAUAUAAUAGCAGUGACGCUACACGUAGCCGCCUUGGGGGAGUGAUGAGCAAUACUCUUCCCCUACUUGACAGCGACACAACAGUAUCCUGUACAGCUCUGUGGUCCUUUAGCACGCAAUACAGCCAAACAGGGAUGCCUUUAGUAAAAUGCAUAGUUCUGUCUACAAUGUCUUUAUGCAUCUCCGAAACGGUGCCCCUGCAAAAUACUGUAAACCUAUGGAUGUCUUCAUUAUAUUAUCAAAAGCUCUUAUUUCCUGUUACAUUGUAGAUGUAAAAUGUAACAUGAAGCACUAUAAAAAGAGUUCGUAAGUGGUUUA